CCGCCCCAUUAGCUCGCUUGCUUUGGGCGGCGUCGCUUCCAUGGCGCCCAGGGUACCCCGGCCGCUGUCUGCCUGUCUUCCGCCAUUACCGCGCAGGCUUUGUCACCGCAUUAAGGCAUUCCCGCUCUCCGCUGAACCGCUCUGCCAUCUCGGCGGUGAAAGGAUCCUUAAGGGCCUCCUCGUCCUCCAGGGCUCCGGUCGCUGCCGGGUCUGUGAGCAGAUCUGCGCCCGCCCUCGCCGUGCCAUGGGCGCCUCCAGCUCCUCCACGCUGGCCCGCCUCGGCUUCCCAGCCCGGCCCUGGCCCAGGUGGCUCGGGGUCGCCGCGCUGGGACUGGCCACCGUGGCCCUGGGGACUGUCGCCUGGCGCCGCGCACGGCCCAGGCGGCGCCGGCAGCUGCAGCAGGUGGGCACCGUGGCGAAGCUCUGGAUCUACCCGGUGAAAUCCUGCAAAGGGGUGCCGGUGAGCGAGGCUGAGUGCACAGCCAUGGGGCUGCGCAUCGGCAACAUGCGGGACAGGUUUUGGCUGGUGAUUAAGGAAGAUGGACACAUGGUCACUGCCCGGCAAGAGCCUCGCCUCGUGCUCGUCUCCAUCACUUAUGAGAACAACUGCCUGAUCCUCAGGGCUCCAGACAUGGACCAGCUGGUUUUGCCUAGCAAGCAGCCUUCCUCAAACAAACUCCACAACUGCAGGAUAUUUGGCCUUGACAUUAAAGGCAGAGACUGUGGCAAUGAGGCAGCUAAGUGGUUCACCAACUUCUUGAAAACGGAAGCGUACAGAUUGGUUCAAUUUGAGACAAACAUGAAGGGAAGAACAUCAAGAAAACUUCUCCCUACUCUUGAUCUGAACUACCAGGUGGCCUACCCAGACAGCUGCCCGCUCCUGAUCAUGACAGAUGCCUCCCUGGUAGAUCUGAAUACCAGGAUAGAGAAGAAAAUGAAAAUGGAGAAUUUCAGGCCAAAUAUCGUGGUGACCGGCUGUGACGCUUUUGAGGAGGAUACCUGGGAUGAACUCCUAAUUGGUAGUGUAGAAGUGAAAAAGGUAAUGGCAUGCCCCAGGUGUAUUUUGACAACGGUGGACCCAGACACUGGAGUCAUAGAUAGGAAAGAGCCACUGGACACCCUGAAGAGCUACCGCCUGUGUGAUCCUUCUGAGAGGGAAUUAUACAAGUUGUCUCCGCUUUUUGGGAUCUAUUAUUCAGUGGAAAAAACUGGAAGCCUGAGAGUUGGUGACCCUGUGUAUCGGAUGGUGUAGUGAUGGAUCCACUAGGGUGAUAUGGUAAAGGGUCAGCUUUGCUUCUGAAUACGCUGUCUUGAAGCCAUUGCUGCAUUUUCUUGUGUUAAUGUUUUUGUUUUUAUGUUAUGCUGCUUUAAUUCUUGAGAGAAUGAGCAGUUUUGUAUUCUGAUCUUUGGAGUUGGAAAAUGCCCUUAACUUCUGUUCCCUGCAGUAAUCUGUGUACUCCUACCUCAGCCUUCUCCACCCCUAUUUCCCAUUUAAUGGUAAAAUGCUGAUGGAAGAGGCUCAGCAGAAAGACAGGCUUCAGCAACCAGGAGGGAUUGACUGAGAUCUUAACAACAGCGGCAACGAUACAUCAGCAAAUCCUUAUUAUCCAGCCUUCAACUGGAUCUUGAUUUUUGACUUUUCAAAGUUGUGUAUGCUCCAGGUUAAUGCAAGGAAAGUAUUAGAGGUGGGAAUAUGAAAGUAUAUGUAUAAAUUUUAGGUACUGAAGGCUUUAAAAAUAAUUAACAUCAUCAAAAAUACUAUUUUGAAUGUUACCAUGGCUAUUACGCUUUUACUUCCUGACUUUAAUAUUGAUGAAUAAAGCAAGUUUAAUGAAUCAACUAAAAAGCUGCAAAAAUGUUUUUAAAAUGUGUGCCUUUUAUUACCAAUCAGUCUAUGUUUUGGGAGAAAUGGGAAGCAACAGAUCACUGUGUCCUGAUGUGCAGGACAAUUACCAUACUCACAAAUGCCAAAUAUUGGUCUUUACGUGGCCGUUGAGUCCUGUUGACUUUCCACUCGUGCUUUUUACUCUAGCAUUAUGGAAUCUGGGCUGUACUUGAGUAUGGAAAUUCUCUUAUAGUUUUAAUACUCUAUUACACCUUUACUAAGCCAUAUAAAAGUAAUCUGUUCGUGUGUAACUGCCAGAUAUACCACCUGGAAUUCCAAGUAAGAUAAAGAAGAGGAUGUCAUUUAAAAGAGAAUGGAAUUUUGAGAGUAGGAGUGCAAGGAAGACAGCAUGAACUUAUUUUUUUCAGUGCAAAUAAUUUUUUUGUAACAAAGAAAUGAACAACUUUGGUAUGAGCUUAAGCAAAAAUACUCACUGAAAUAGUAUAUGGAUGAAUUCACCUACUUACAAUUUUAUGGUUUCUUUGCAAAUAAUAAAUGUGAAUCUCAAUCCUGCUUUA